rnacentral:rRNA from 1 species
UACAGAGGGUGCAAGCGUUAAUCGGAAUUACUGGGCGUAAAGCGUGCGCAGGCGGCUUUGCAAGACAGAUGUGAAAUCCCCGGGCUUAACCUGGGAACUGCAUUUGUGACUGCAUGGCUGGAGUGUGGCAGAGGGGGAUGGAAUUCCGCGUGUAGCAGUGAAAUGCGUAGAUAUGCGGAGGAACACCGAUGGCGAAGGCAAUCCCCUGGGCCUGCACUGACGCUCAUGCACGAAAGCGUGGGGAGCAAACAGG